GUUUGUAUUUCAAGUUUUCUGUGGGAUCUCGCACCAGGCCCUCGUUCUGUUAAGUAUCAUUGUAACAAAGUUGUCAAGAUACAUAGAGAGUUUAAUAUGUCUAAAUGUUCUAAAUUUUUGUUAAAGAGGAAAAAACUAUUUCUUGAGUGAUUUCUUAAUCAGGGCGUUCCUGUGCCCAGUGUCUAAAGCUUCAAAAUAACCUCAAAA
rnacentral:lncRNA from 1 species